rnacentral:snRNA from 11 species
CAGCUUUGCUGGGGGUGUGCUGUUGAGCCCAUUCAUAGCUCUGUUUGCUAUCCUGUUCAUAAGACAACUGUGGAAGAACUGGAGUGGCCGGAUGUGCUGACCCCUGCGAUUUCCCCAAAUGCGGGAAACUCGACUGCAUAAUUUGUGGUAGUGGGGGACUGCGUUCGAGCUCUUCCUUG